rnacentral:lncRNA from 11 species
CUUAAAUACUGUGUAUAUAUAUCUCUGCACUGAAAGCAUCUUACUAUCGCAAGUCUGAGAACAAUUUGCAAGGCUUUAUGUUCACUCAUCCAUUACCUGCACGGCCCAGUAUGAUAGAGGUUCACAAUAAAACUCUCCCACGCCAAAAGACUUACUUGAUCCAUCCUGUAGUUGUGAAGUGCACAGCCUUUUUUUGAAGUCACAAAUAAAUUGUAGCUUGAUUGUAUCCCCAUACCACCACCGAUCCAGUGGAACAUCAAUGACAUGGAUGGCAGCCCGGAAACCACACAACACUCCAGACAUGGGUGUUCUUUACAUACUUGGGCAAGGGAAUCCUGGCCCCUCUACCUGCCAGAGUGGUCAAUGGCAACUUGGCACUGCUGGUGAGUCUGAAGGCUAGGAACAGAAGGAGAAUGCAGAACAGAAGACUUUGGGAUUAAGAGAGAGAACUGCAUUGUCAGAUCAGAGUGGCACUGCAGCCAUGAACAAAAUGGGAACACAUAUGAACAUAGAAGAGAACAAACAUUUUUAAAUCUCUUCUGCAAAGCUGUUUUGGAAUGUGAACUACAGUCAUUCUUUUAGAUUUGUGAUUUCGACUUUUGCAAAUUUGAUUAUUCACAGAUUUGAUUAAAA